UAAGGAAUAUUGGUCAAUGGACGCAAGUCUGAACCAGCCAUGCCGCGUGAAGGAUGAAGGUCCUCUGGAUUGUAAACUUCUUUUAUAUGGGAAGAAACCCACUUUUUCUUGAGUGGUUGACGGUACCAUAGGAAUAAGCACCGGCUAACUCCGUGCCAGCAGCCGCGGUAAUACGGAGGGUGCAAGCGUUAUCCGGAUUCACUGGGUUUAAAGGGUGCGUAGGAGGGCAGGUAAGUCAGUGGUGAAAUCUCCAAGCUUAACUUGGAAACUGCCGUUGAUACUAUCUGUCUUGAAUACCGUGGAGAUGAGCGGAAUAUGUCAUGUAGCGGUGAAAUGCUUAGAUAUGACAUAGAACACCAAUUGCGAAGGCAGCUCGUUACACGAAUAUUGACUCUGAGGCACGAAAGCGUGGGGAUCAAACA
rnacentral:rRNA from 1 species